CUAUGUUUUUCAUUUCAAAAUCUUUCUAGGCCAGCCUUCAACUAUCUACCUCAUUCUUUUUGAUGGCUGCAAAGUACCCUACUGAAUAGACAGAGGUACCAUAAUUUACUUAUCUAGUCUUGUCUUAGACGUUUUGAUUGACAUGAACACCCUUGUACAGGUAUUUUGGGAAACAUCUGUGUACAUAUCCCUGGAGAAAAUUUCUAGCAAUAGGAUUACCAAGUCAGAGGGCAUACAUGUUUAAAGUAGAUAUGUGGUGCCUAAUUGCCCUCCAGGAUCUGAGCCAACUGGCAUUCUUCAGAAAGGCUGCAUGAACUCAUACUUUAAUCCACAAUGGAUAACAGGGCCCAUUCUGUGUACCCUUUGCUUCUGGCUAUCUCUAUCUCUACCAAUGUAUACUUAUGCAGACAUAAGAGAUGAUAAUCUGUAACAGGAAACAUACUGAGUCACUGACAUUUACCCUGUUAUAGACUAGCCAUUUGGGAAACAAACAAAAAAAACAAACCAGGGGUGCCCAGGAAGCUCAACUGGCUAAGCCUCAGAUUCUUGGUUUUGGCUGAGGCCAUGAGCUCAGAGUCCUGGAUUGAGCCGCGUGCUGGGCUCCGUGCACAGUGUGGAGUGUGCCUGAGAUUCUCUCCCCCUGCCACUCCCCCAUGCUCCUACACUUGCUCUCUAAAAUAAAUAAAAUCUUUUAAAAAUUUAAAAAAAAAAAAUCACCAUUAAUUCAUGAGGAAGCCAGAACAUGUAGGUAUUAACUAUCUUGUACAAGGUCACAUAGCUAGUGGGCAUGGGAAAUUAAAACCCAACUUCACCACUGCCUUAUCUUCAGUUUCAUAGGUAUUUUGCUCUUAAAAACAAACAAACAAAAAAUUGAUAUAGUAAUCCUUUUAUUUAACGGCCUUCCGUUAAAAAUAAUGACCUUGCAAUCAGACCAAAUUCUUUGAGCACACUGACACUUAAUGAAGAAGUACAAAUUACCAAUCUUAGUUAGGUGUUGCCCUAAAGUAUCUAAUACAGUAUACUAUUUGUUUCCAAGAGCAUGUGGUAAAGAACUAUAAUAACCCCAAUCAGAACCACUUUAACCAAAUACUUGAAUUUAAGGGGGUAAGAAAAGGAACUAAAACUUCCACAUGUAAGCAGAAUAAAUGCACAAGAAAGUAAACUGCAUUUCCAUGGAAAAUGUUUAUCAAAUACAAUUCAAAUGAAAUUCAGCCUUUAUCACUUUGAUAAAUUUCAAACUCCUGUCCUUAAGGAUCAGUCAAUAUAAAUAUACUCAGGAUUUGCUGAAUGCACUCUACCAUCUUACCCAUUUCCAAUAUUUACAAGGGACAUUUUGAAUAGAACUAGGUGAAAAGGAGCCCCCGCUCCCUCUUCCCUGGAGGUGGCCUGCAUGACCCUCUCUUUCAAGUGCCACUGUCUCAUAUUUCAUAUACAGCAACCCAAGUUUCCCUUGCCCUACAGCCUCAAGAAAUGCUUUGUGGCUUCACCAUAUACACAAAAUGACCAUUACUUACUUUACUUACUUACUUACCCAGGGAUCCCUGACCAUUACUUUUUGAGCACAAAUUUAGAUAGGACUUGUGACAAGUAUGGGAGAACUUUGGGAACCAAGGGGACCAAAUACCCAGGAACAAUAGCAAGAAAGCAGUCCUAUCCCUAAAAAAUGGGUUCUCACUGGAACUCAGUGAACAGGCUACAGUGAACGUCUAAGCACCAUGGACUCCAAGGAUCUGAUGGUGGAAAAUCACUAGUGCAAAUGUUCCAUAAAAUCUAUCACACUGCUGGAGGUACCAGAAUACAAUACAACUACUCUAGGGAGUCUAGCUGCUUCUUUAAUCUGCACUUAGCAAGGAUUUAUGAAGCCCACCAAGCCGAAGCCAGACUCUGUGCUGGGCACAUGCCUGGCAGCCCCUUACUCAGAAAAUGCCUAUUUCCUUGAUAGAACUACCAAAGCAUCAGCGUGCCACAGGGCAAGGAGAAAAUGGCAAGGGGGGCAGAUUAGAAUGAGGACGAGAUGUGGCUUUUUGCCUAAAGGCUGCCCACUAACGCAGAUCGACAUCUACUCUCCAAUCCAUGGUGCACAACUAGUGAUGCUAAGGACUGCAUGCCACUGGGGCCUGCCCAGUUCAAAGCAGGUUCCUCAUGAUGAGAGCCAGUCGCUUCCCUAGCAAGGCUGUAUCGGGUGAGGUGGGAAGAUGUCCCUAGUCACCCCACACAGAAAGUGCUAAAAGCUCCCAUAGGUGAGGCAGGUAUGUGAGGAUAUAAACGAGUGUGAAUGCUAAAAACUAACUGGUCCAUCAAGCAGAACUCUGCAAAGGCAUCUAGUUGUCUCCUUCUUCAUCCCAUGCCCCUAUAAAGCAUAAUGUAAGAGAGUCAGAAGAAUUAUAAAUAAUAGCCUGGCCCUGUUAAUCAUUUAACUGCUUGACUCUGCUAAGCAAGCCUAGGGUAGACCUCUAAAAUUCAGAUACUCUGAAACCACCACCAUGUUCUGACAGAAAUGUUCCAUGUGUUUGCUAAAUAGAAACUGUCUAAACUCAUUCAAUCGAGUCAACCCUUACACACUCCUACAUUUGUAUAAAAACUGAACAUACUCACCAGAUAAAAGCAUAUCUGUUAAAGAAUUUGUCUUCUCUUUGCCAUGCUAUUGUUUUAUAUCCUAUACCCUAAAGAUACUGCCUGGAUCCCACUAAAUGCUACUGUAGAAUCCUUUUUGUUCUCCAAUUUGAAGACUGUUGCAGGAGGACAUUUGAUUCUAUUACAUUUUAUUUUGCUGUAAGAAGGACUGAAAAUCCCUUGAGACCAAACUUGAGCUAUACCCAACCCAAUCAUAAGAAGUGUAGGAAUGUAGUCUCUUCUCUCCAGAGGGGGCUUUACGUUUAGAUUUCAGAUUUUGUUGUUUGCUUAAAAGUGUGCUGUGAAGGUGGAAUGUUGUUCUCUAAACCUAUGAAAAAGAGUAACUCAGUACUUCAUUGGGAAAAACAACAGAAGGCCAAGAUUUCCCAAAAAAGCCAUUGCUGCAUUUUUGGCACCUGCAAAGAUGUGCUUGCAAAUGGGUUUUUUGUUUUAAAGUACCAGCACCUGCAAUUUGGCAGUCCUGCAGGAGCGUGGUUCAUCCCCUCUCUCUGCAGUUUAUGGAUUGCCUGCUCCCCACUCUCAUGUACAGCCACAGCUACCAAGCUCAGGGAGAACAGGCAGAGACAGGAGGACACUGGCAUGCGGAGCACACUAUCAUCCUAUAUACAGCCUGUGUUACCUGGGGUGACAGGCAAAUUUGAGUCCUCCAAGUACCCAGCCACUGACUGCCCACAGCCACCAGCCACAGGAAGCCUGGCACCUCCAGAAAACGAGCAGUGCAGCUAAGGGCAGCAGAGGCCCUGUUAAAUGAAGAAUGCAUUUCUACUUGCUCAACUUGAAGGGGAUGGAUUGAAAUUUAUCUCUGUGUGAUAAACAGUGAAUUGCAGUUGACAGACAUUUUCUAUAUGAAUGCAAUUUACUAUGUCAUUACCAGUUUAUGUUUAUAUAAUGAAAUCAACUGUUUUUGUGAGGUGAAUUACCCAGAUUUAUUUUUUGCAAGUUCAUAAUUAAAUGGCACUUAAAUAUU